CAGUCUUCGGGACCGCUCUAGGCUGCCACCGCGCCGGCUGGCUCCAAAACUCAAUGGUUUCUGGGCGGGGUCGUGACGUCCUUGGCGUGGCGGCAGGGGAGGCCGCGGCGGGGAAAAUGGCGGACGGGAAGGCGGGAGAGGAGAAGCCCGAAAAGUCGCAGCGAGCUGGAGCCGCCGGAGUUAAUUCAUGGGAGCCUCUUCUACUGCCACACAAUCUCAGUUCCUGCUGUAUACUCUAACAAACAGUGGAAGAGACUGUUGGGUCAGUAGGUGACAACUGCAGAGGUAUCUUCCUUAUAACGAUGCUUUUUGAGGUUGCUGCUCCCAUCAAUCUGCUCAGUAAAAAUAGCUCAUCUUGGUAAGUUGUUUCGACUUCACCAGGACCUGAAGAAGAAGCAGAAAAACCUGUGAAAACUAAGACUGUUUCUUCCAGUAAUGGAGGGGAAAGUUCCAGUCGCAGCGCUGAGAAGCGAUCAGCUGAAGAAGAAGCUGCAGACCUCCCAACAAAGCCUACAAAGAUCUCCAAGUUUGGAUUUGCCAUAGGUAGUCAGACGACAAAGAAAGCAUCAGCCAUAUCCAUCAAACUUGGAUCAAGUAAGCCUAAAGAAACUGUUCCAACUCUUGCUCCUAAAACACUUUCAGUAGCAGCAGCUUUUAAUGAAGAUGAAGAUAGUGAACCAGAAGAAAUGCCUCCAGAAGCAAAGAUGAGGAUGAAGAAUAUUGGAAGGGAUACACCAACAUCAGCUGGACCAAACUCUUUCAAUAAAGGAAAGCAUGGGUUUUCUGAUAACCAGAAGCUAUGGGAGCGAAAUAUAAAAUCUCAUCUUGGAAAUGUCCAUGACCAAGACAAUUAAAUGAUGUUUUGAAAUUGGGGCGUGGGGUGGGUGUAAAGUUAAAAGGAACAGUUUCCUUUUUUAAAGAAUGGUAUAAGACUAUCUUUGGAGCCGCUUUUUUUUUCUUUUUCAUUUUUUUAAAAGAUUGAGUGGUACACUAAUAAAUGAGAGUUUGAAAUUAGAGGUAAUUUAUGUUUUAUAUACGGAUUUCAAGACAUUUGCUAAUUUUGUAGUUUCAUGUGAUUAGUUUCCAAAGGCUACAGAUAAUAAAGAAAUCAGAAAUGGUACCUUUUUAAGAAUUGCAUAUUUUUUUAGACACAACUAUUAGCACAUUAAGAGGGAAGCAAAAAGUUAUUGUCUAUUUAAAACUGCAAGCAGUUACCCUCAACUCCCUUAUUACGUAAACUUGUCUGGCUCCCAGGAACAGCCUUAUAGAGAGAGGGAGUAUUGUAUUGGGAGGAAAAUGUUAAUGAACUAUUGACUGAAAGUAAAUUUAGAUCAAAUUGAAAUACAGCUUUUUUCCUUAUGGGCAUUUGUUUUGUUUCAAGUCAUCAUAAACUAGGUAUUGCAUUGCUGUCAGUGGAUACAGACGCUUAGCUCUUAAAAGAAUUUUUUUUUAAUGUAAACUGUUGAAUGAACUAGCCCACUUCACCUUAAUGGGUCUUGUCUAUCUUCAUAGUCUUCAAAAAAAAAACCCAUUUGCUACCAAAGUAAAUCAGUAUUUUGAAUGUGCUUCUCUUGUUUUUUGUUUAUUAGCUAGUUCCUGUAAGCAUUUCCACCAGAACUUGAGGCAAAUCAUAAGGAAGCUGUUUCUUUUAAAAUACAAACCACCACCAAAAACUUAAAUGUACAUAUUGCUUAAGUAUUUGGCUGUUUUUAUUUUUUAAAGGGUAUCAACACCAAAAAAAAAAAAAAAAAAAAAAAUUAACAUUGUAUGAAGAUGGAAAACAAGAAGAUGCACUUUCUGUUACUUUGUCUAAGGAUUUAAAUUACUGACUUGUGACAUCCAAUUUGAAAUGAACUUAACUACCGGCUUUCUUACUAGUAAAGUUAUAUUGUUUAUUUUAAAUGUAUACAUAUUGACCAAUGGCCUCUCAAAAAGCACAUUUUAGAUACUGAAAUAGAAAGAAAGAAAAUGCAUCUUCAAACAUUUUUUGGAAUCUCACCACAUAUACUUUGUUAGAUUUGUGUAUUGUAGGGUGUUUGUUUUUGUAUUUUUGUAUUGUAUAUGAACUUUUUUUUAAUGUGACAGUUAAACAUCUUUAAAAGCAUAGUCACAGACAAAAGAAACAUACAGUAUAAAAAUUUUUUUGAAAACUCCUACAAUAUUGUAUUUGGAGGCAGCUUCAGACUGUUUUAUUGGUGGUAACUGCUCGCCGAGCUCUUUCACUUGGUAAUAACUUCAGAAAAGAAGGCUGUGUAUAUUCCUAACACUUUGUUCACUAGCAUUUAAGUUUAGAAUAAGCCCCAAGUAAAACAAUGGAAAUGUAUAUAGAACUCUUAGUUCUGACAUGAUUUAAUUAUAUCAAGAUACAUGAAUUUAACUUACUUUAAUGUAGGCAGACUCUGUUUUUGUCCAUUUUCCUGUUUGUUAAAAUAACAUACCUCUCCUACAUAUUCUUUUCUUGACCCAAAUGAAAUAUUAACCUAAGGUCAAGCUGGGAGAGAGAAACGACUGAGAUGAAUGUCUUUACUAAAAUACCAAUAAAUUUGUCAAGCUCAA